rnacentral:lncRNA from 1 species
UCUUAACCAUAUAUGUUGACUUGUCGAUUACAUUUUCUGAUUAUUUUCAUACCGAAAAAUUGUAGAAAACAUAUCAUCAUAUGUGAUACGUAAUGGAUUGGCAAGGGAGAAGUACAUCCUUUCAAGCAUUAUUCCAUUUUCCAUGAAAUAUUUAGCUAAAAAAAACCUCAUGCUCGUAUCCACGUGCCUUCCCAAAUUUCACAACUUGGAGAGUCAAUGCCAAGCAAUCUGGCACAACAGCAAAAUUCAGAAGCUCUUGGUUGAUUUUCAAUAUUCCCUAUAAAGUAGUAAUCAAACAAAGUUCAAAUUAGAUGAGAUAUAGAGGGUUUUUCUUUUGAUACAAUGAGAUAUAAAGGUUAAAGUAUAAUAAGUAUGCUAAUUACUAACCUUGAGAACUAGAUUAUUGAGAACAUGAUCCAAAUUGGCUCAACAUUGCAAAUUUAAGUAAAACAUCCAUAUUUGGUUAUGUCAGAACUUGGAUGACAAACAUGACAAACAUUAAGGAUACUGAUUAGUAUUGAACCAUAUGGAAUACAACAACUUCCAACCUAUGAAGAGAAUAUGGAACCAUCAAGGAUACGCGG